CCUACGGGAGGCAGCAGUGAGGAAUAUUCGUCAAUGGCCGAAAGGCUGAACCAGCCAUGCCGCGUGAAGGUCAAUGCUCUAUGGGCUUUAAACUUCUGUUGUGCGGGAGCAAUAAUUGUCAUGUGUGGCCAUACGAGAGUACCGGUCGAUUAUGCAUCGGCUAUAUCUGUGCCAGCGGCAGCGGUCACACUGGUGGUGCAAUCGUUAUCCGUAUUUAUUGGGUUUAAAGGUUGGGUAGUCUGUGAUGUAAGUCAGCGGUUAAAUUGCCCCGCUCAACGGGGUGAAGCGCCAGUGAUACUGGCUUGCUAGAAUGAGAAUGCGGUGGGAGGAAUGUGUGGUGAAGCGGUGAAAUGCAUAGAUAUCACACAGAACACCGAAUGCGAAGGCAUCUCACGAAUCCGCGAUUGACGCUGAUGCACGAAAGCGUGGGUAUCAAACAGGAUUAGAUACCCGAGUAGUC
rnacentral:rRNA from 1 species